AUUUCAACCUGGCAGGGGAGGUACCAUGAUCAUGAAGGUGGUUUUCCCAAGGUGAGGCUUAUCCAUUGUACUCUGGAUGUGCUGACCUCUGCAAUUUCCCCAAAUGUGGGAAACUCUACUGUGUAAUUUGUGGUAGUGUGGGACUGAGUUCAUACUGUCCCCUU